UUUGGGUCCCCUUCCACACUGGAAGCUUUGUUCUUUUGCUCUUCACAAUAAAUCUUGCUGCUGCUCAUAGAAAGAUGCAAGCUAGUGCUAGCGAGACAGCCUGCAAAACCCCUGUGUUGUUUUGGGCUGUUAACCAUAGUCUGAGUGGCUUAGACAACAAACAUUUAUUUCUCACAGUUCUAGAGGCUAGAAGUCCAAGAGCAGAUGCCAGCAGACCUGUCUGGGGAAGGCCUGCUUCUUGGCCUGGAGACAGCCGCUUGCUCACUAUGUCUUCACAGGGCAGAGUGAACCCUGGUCUGUUUCUCUUACAAGGACACUCAUCCCACUGUGGGCCUCCACCUUUGUGAUUUCAUCUAUACCUAAAAGGCCCCACUUCCUAGUAUUCCGCCGGGGGUUCAGGCUUCAAAGAUGAAUACUGGGGGCGACACAAACGGAGCCCAUAACCUCAUGCCGCCUGACUCCUGAGGCUGUAUUCGUGAUGAACGUGUGGCUGCCCAAGUUUUGUUUUGCUCAGGCAGGAUCAGCACACACCCAGCCACAGACAGGGAAGCCCAGAGCAGGGCAGAAUAUGGUCCCUCAAGUGAAUAAUUGGCCCAGGGAUACAGAAUUAGGUGAUUCUAGCAAAUCCAGACAUUUUCUAGGGUGCCAGUGAAUUUUGGGUCUGUCCCUGUUAGCUGUUCUUGAGAUUUUGCACUCAACUUGCGAUGGUUAAUACGGAGUGUCAACUUGAUUGGAUUGAAGGAUGCAAAGUAUUGUUUCUGGGUGUGUCUGUGAGGGUGUUGCCAAAGGAGAUUAACAUUUGUGUCAGUGGGCUGGGAAAGGCAGACCCACCCUCAAUCUGGGUGGGCACCAUCUAAUCAGCUGCCAGCGUGGCCGGAAUAAAAGCAGGCAGGAGAAUGUGGAAAGACUAGACUAGUCUUGUGGCCUCCAUCUUUCUCCUGUGCUGGAUGCUUCCUGCCCUUGAACAUCGGACUCCAAGUUCUUCCGUUUUGGGACUUGGAUUAGCUUCCUUGCUCCUCAGCCUGCAGACGGCCUACUGUGGGACCCCUUCUUGCUGGAAUGCAAUGGCAUAAUCUCAACUCAUUGCAACCUUCACCUCCUGGGUUCAAGUGACUCUCCUACCUCAGCCUCUCGAGUAGCUGGGAUUAUAGGCACCUGCCACCACACCAGAUAAUUUUUGUAUUUUUGGUAGAGACGGGGUUUCGCCAUGUUGGCCAGACUGGUCUUGAACUCCUGACCUCGUGAUCCAUACACCUCGGCCUCCCAAAGUGCUGGGAUUACAGGCAUGAGCCAACACGCCCGGCAUGUUUUUCCUUUAAAAUCAGUCACAGCAAAAGUCACCGAGCAGACACUGUUCUGCCUUCUUCAGACAUUUUCUCUGGCUUCCUAGGAAUUGGGGUUUUUUUUGUUGUUUUUGUUUGUUUGUUUGUUUGUUUGUUUUAGUGUUAUUCAUCUUUUAGACUGGCCGUUCCCAUCUUAUUUGCACCUUUUGGGGAAAAGUUAACUUGCUCGAAAAUGAAAUGCACCCGAUGGCAUCUGCUGGCUUUACCUCAUGGUGAUGUUCCUUUAUGAACUAGUGACCAAAUGCUUCAUUCUCUUUUCUGAUUGUUUCCCUCCCUUUGCUCAUCCCCCACCUCAGUAAGACAUGUUACAUCAUUUUAAUGAGCAAGUGUACAUUUUUUUCCAGUGGGACUCAAAUUGUACGUUUGCUUCUUGGUCGUACAUGCAUUUUGUUUCACGGAUUUAGUUGUGUCUCCUGUUGUUCUGUGGUCAGGAUACGGGAUCAUUUGCUAGGCACUGAUUUGCUGAACACAGUAGUAUUUCGUUGAGUGGCCCUUCCUUGGAAACAACUGGCAAACUGAAAGCCUCCCUGUAAGGUGCUGAUUGCCUUCCAGAUCUGAGGACCCCGUCUCUGCCUCAUUCCUCCUGUUUCCAUCAGAAGACACAGGUCUGGGACUCAGCGCAGCUGACCUGUCUGUCCCUCUCUGCACAGUUUACUCCUGGGCUCUGCAGAGAGAAGUCAGUGCCUCAAUUUUCCAUUGAAAUAUGCACCCUUGGCAUCCUGGCAGGAGUGGCAGCCACAGCAAAACAUCUUCUGCAGCGUCUGGCCAGGGCGUUACUCCAGCCCAGUUUUGCCCUGGACUAGAUUGAGUCAGGUCGUGCAUGGAACGCAAGCACAAACCACGGUCAGCUCCUCGAGACUGACCCACUGGCCCACUGAGCAGAGGAGCCCCUGGGUCUCUGGACGCUGCCCAGUUGUUGACAUCCUGAGGCAGGUUUGCGGCUGAUGGAGCAACAGGGACGGGCUGGGCCCGGCACCUUUUUCACGGAAAUGAUGAGCUCUGGACAGCAGUGAUGCCAGGGCCCAUAAAGCCUCAGGCGCCCGUCAUUGCUGCUGCCUGCGUGUGCUCGCUCACCGCGACGGCGGCGGGCUGGAGGAAGCUGUGCAAGAGCCAAGUGUCUACCAUGAGUCUGCAUGUUCAUAUGGUUCAGAUUUGCCUUGGAAUCCCCGCGAGCCAAACUCUUUCAUUUCACUUAGUAAAAGGGAUGCAUUGACUCAGAUGUUCUGUCCUAUUUAAAUGAGAGGGGCGCGGGAGGUGAUGGAACACAAAACCAUGAGCCAUGGCUUUGCUGGGGAAUGCUGUGGAUCUGGUGUGUGAUAGAGAGAGAGUGUGUGUGCGUGUGUGUGUGUGUAUGGCAAAGUGCACAAAUCGCACGUGUACACCUCAGUGGCUUUUUACACAUUUAGACGUGUGUAAGUGUAUAGAGCAUUUCCACACCCCAGAGGCCCCGAGCUCACUCCCUCCCGCUCUCCCCAUCCCUGACGCUAACCUGAU
rnacentral:lncRNA from 1 species